rnacentral:misc_RNA from 1 species
GAAAUGCGAUAAGUAAUGUGAAUUGCAGAAUUCAGUGAAUCAUCGAAUCUUUGAACGCACAUUGCGCCCGCCAGUAUUCUGGCGGGCAUGCCUGUUCGAGCGUCAUUUCAACCAUCAAGCCCCCGGCUUGUGUUGGGGACCUGCGGCUGCCCGCAGGCCCUGAAAACCAGUGGCGGGCUCGCUGUCACACCGAGCGUAGUAGCAUACAUUCUCGCUCAGGGCGUGCUGCGGGUUCCGGCCGUUAAACGACCUUCAUAACCCAAGGUUGACCUCGGAUCAGGUAGGAAGACCCGCUGAACUUAAGC